rnacentral:pre_miRNA from 1 species
CUCACCCAGGGAUCUUGUUAUAAUGCAGAUUCCAAUUCAGUGGGUCUCUGAGAUUCUGCAUUUCUAACAAACUCUCAGGUAAUGUUGA